rnacentral:tmRNA from 1 species
AACUGACAAAUCAAACAAUAAUUUCGCAGUAGCUGCGUAAUAGCCACUGCAUCGCCUAACAGCAUCUCCUACGUGCUGUUAACGCGAUUCAACCCUAGUAGGAUAUGCUAAACACUGCCGCUUGAAGUCUGUUUAGAUGAAAUAUAAUCAAGCUAGCAUCAUGUUGGUUGUUUAUUGCUUAGCAUGAUGCGAAAAUUAUCAAUAAACUACACACGUAGAAAGAUUUGUAUCAGGACCUCUGGACGCGGGUUCGAAUCCCGCCGUCUCCAUUG